rnacentral:rRNA from 1 species
GGUCCGCCUCACCGCGUGCACUCGUCCGGCCGGGCCUUCCUUCUGAAGAACCUCAUGCCCUUCACUGGGCGUGCUGGGGAAUCAGGACUUUUACUUUGAAAAAAUUAGAGUGUUCAAAGCAGGCCUUUGCUCGAAUACGUUAGCAUGGAAUAAUAAAAUAGGGCGUGCGUUUCUAUUUUGUUGGUUUCUAGAGACGCCGCAAUGAUUAACAGGAACAGUCGGGGGCAUCAGUAUUCCGUUGUCAGAGGUGAAAUUCUUGGAUUUACGGAAGACUAACUACUGCGAAAGCAUUUGCCAAGGAUGUUUUCAUUAAUCAGUGAACGAAAGUUAGGGGAUCGAAGACGAUCAGAUACCGUCGUAGUCUUAACCGUAAACUAUGCCGACUAGGGAUCGGGCGAUGUUCUUUUUCUGACUCGCUCGGCACCUUACGAGAAAUCAAAGUUUUUGGGUUCUGGGGGGAUUAUGGUCGCAAGGCUGAAACUUAAAGAAAUUGACGGAAG